UGGGACAAGUGGAGGUAAUCAA
rnacentral:misc_RNA from 1 species